rnacentral:rRNA from 1 species
CGUCUAUAUACGUAUAGCAUAUCAAUAAGCGGAGGAAAAGAAACUAACUAGGAUUCCCUCAGUAACGGCGAGUGAAGCGGGAAGAGCUCAAAUUUGAAAUCUUCAAGGUUUUACCUUGACGAAUUGUAGUUUAAAGAAGUGUUUUCUGUUGGAGUUUUGGUAAAAGUUCUUUGGAAUAGGACAUCAUAGAGGGUGAGAAUCCCGUAUUUGACCAUUAUUUCCAACUUUGUGAUACACUUUCAAAGAGUCGGAUUGUUUGGGAAUGCAGUCCAAAAUGGGUGGUAAAUUUCAUCUAAAGCUAAAUAUUGGCGAGAGACCGAUAGCGAACAAGUACCGUGAGGGAAAGAUGAAAAGAACUUUGAAAAGAGAGUUAAACAGUACGUGAAAUUGUCAAAAGGGAAGCGUUUGACACCAGUGUUGUUUUCUCGAAAAUCAAUUAAAAAUGGCAGGAUUUUGUGUUGUAUUGACUUUAUCAGCUUUCUGCACUUUUUUCUUGUCUUUUUUAAUGCACUUUUCGUUUAACAAGUCAACAUCAAUUUCUUUUGUUGUAAAAGAGUCAUUGGAAGGUGGCUUUCUUUUCGGAGAAAGUGUUUAUAGCCUUUGACUUCUGCAGUCGGAGAGAUUGAGGUCUGCAGCGUAGAUCCUUCGGGGUUAGAUGCAUUUGUGCUAAGUUAUAGCCUUUCAUAGACAACUUGUUGACUAUGAUCAGUCAUGUAGCUUACUCGCUUAUGUCAUUUUACCUACGCUUAGGAUGUUGACGAUCAGCUGAGCGCG